UACAGAGGGGGCAAGCGUUAUUCGGAAUUAUUGGGCGUAAAGGGCGCGUAGGCGGCUUUUCAAGUGACGGGUGAAAUCCCUCGGCUUAACCGAGGAACUGCCUGUCAGACUGGAAGGCUUGAGACCGGGAGAGGUGAGUGGAAUUCCCAGUGUAGCGGUGAAAUGCGUAGAUAUUGGGAGGAACACCAAUGGCGAAGGCAGCUCGCUGGGACGUUACUGACGCUGAGACGCGAAAGCGUGGGGAGCAAACAGG
rnacentral:rRNA from 1 species